rnacentral:tRNA from 1 species
GGGGAUUUGGCUCAGUGUUAGAGCACUUGCCUAGCAAGCGCAAGGCCCUGGGUUCAGUCCCCA